rnacentral:rRNA from 1 species
UGAACGCUGGCGGUAGGCCUAACACAUGCAAGUCGAACGGCAGCACAGUAAGAGCUUGCUCUUACGGGUGGCGAGUGGCGGACGGGUGAGGAAUACAUCGGAAUCUACUUUUUCGUGGGGGAUAACGUAGGGAAACUUACGCUAAUACCGCAUACGACCUACGGGUGAAAGCAGGGGAUCUUCGGACCUUGCGCGAUUGAAUGAGCCGAUGUCGGAUUAGCUAGUUGGCGGGGUAAAGGCCCACCAAGGCGACGAUCCGUAGCUGGUCUGAGAGGAUGAUCAGCCACGCUGGAACUGAGACACGGUCCAGACUCCUACGGGAGGCAGCAGUGGGGAAUAUUGGACAAUGGGCGCAAGCCUGAUCCAGCCAUACCGCGUGGGUGAAGAAGGCCUUCGGGUUGUAAAGCCCUUUUGUUGGGAAAGAAAAGCAGCAGGUUAAUACCCCGCUGUUCUGACGGUACCCAAAGAAUAAGCACCGGCUAACUUCGUG